rnacentral:rRNA from 14 species
UGCUACUUCCAUAUCAUCUUGAAUGUUACCCAUCUCAUCUGAUAAUGGAAGCCAAGCAGGUUUGGAAGUAGUAAGAACUUGUUGAGAGAUAUCAGAUGAUAUUAUUGGGAGAAAACAA